CAAAGGAUCUGAGACAAUAAGAGAUCUAGAGAGAACAGGGCAGCACAAUGUGAGUUUACAGAAAAACAUGUGAAAAUAAAAUAAGAAAUGUUUGAGGUGACAAAAAUACUGAAGAAAAGGGAAAAGGACCCCAAUAAUGAGGAUUGCUACUACUCAUGAUUAAUACAUUAACCUCCACCUGCCCGCCAGUCUUAUAACCGAUCUUAGAUUUUAUCUUAACAUGUAAGUUUAAACAGAAAUUGUGAAACAGUUACAUGUAAAUAUGAGAUAUUGUGUUCAAAUUUAGGCAAAUUAAUGAAGUGUAGUAAUUAUAUUGUUAUAACUGAGAAUGUAUAAUCUGACUGUGAUUGUAGCAUUCCACUGUGGCCAUAAGAAAGUUGAUGAGGGUUCUCUAACUGACAAAGUUUAUUAUUUACUUUACAGUUAAAUUAUCAACCUAAUAGACCUGGAGAAGAAUGAUUCUUGGCAAUGAGGUAGAGAGCAGGGUAUGUAGUUGAUGGGUCCCUGAGUAAAAUUCUCUAGCCUUUGAGUUCGACCGACAUAGGUGAGAAAAUAUAAACCCCAAAAAGGAAUUCUGUGAACAUUGUUAGGGAAACAUUGGACAAAUGUUGGAAUAGCCAGUGGUCUGAUCACCUCUGUGACAUCUUCGUCCAAUAACACAAAAUGAGAAAAAAGCGAUAAUAACUAUGUAACUAUAGAAAUAUUUAAGGACCAUCAUCAUUAUCACAAUCAUUAUCGUCAUCAUCAUCAUUUUAUAUUUUUUCAUGUUGGUAUGAUGUUGUCAUUGCUGUAGUUGUUUUUGUUGUUAUUUGACCCCAGGUCAACUCUCAUCAAGCAAGUUUAUGAUUAAGAAUAUGUUACUUCUUUCUGUUUUUUUCUUUUCAGGGUCCUUCCCAGGGCUAAAAUAUCCGAUAAGAUUUUGUUUAAAGUGAGUAUAAUUUGACAGAAAUUUUGGUAGAUUUUUCUAAAAAACUCAAUGACAUAUAA
rnacentral:lncRNA from 1 species